AUUGAACGCUAGCGGGAUGCUUUACACAUGCAAGUCGAACGGCAGCGCGGACUUCGGUCUGGCGGCGAGUGGCGAACGGGUGAGUAAUGUAUCGGAACGUGCCCAGUAGCGGGGGAUAACUACGCGAAAGCGUAGCUAAUACCGCAUACGCCCUACGGGGGAAAGCAGGGGAUCGUAAGACCUUGCACUAUUGGAGCGGCCGAUAUCGGAUUAGCUAGUUGGUGAGGUAACGGCUCACCAAGGCGACGAUCCGCAGCUGGUUUGAGAGGACGACCAGCCACACUGGGACUGAGACACGGCCCAGACUCCUACGGGAGGCAGCAGUGGGGAAUUUUGGACAAUGGGGGCAACCCUGAUCCAGCCAUCCCGCGUGUGCGAUGAAGGCCUUCGGGUUGUAAAGCACUUUUGGCAGGAAAGAAACGUCGCGGGCUAAUACCCCGUGGAACUGACGGUACCUGCAGAAUAAGCACCGGCUAACUACGUG
rnacentral:rRNA from 1 species